AUGUCAGCAGUCCUCCCUGUUGUGAUAGAUUGCAUAGGAUGCUGCUUCCGGAUCCAAAGGAACAAUCGACAGACGUCACAAAGAUCCACCUCUGGCUGCAUCAGAAAAUUAUGCUCCUGGCGCCACCAGCGAGUGCACCCCGCUAAUGGGUCGGGGACAGAAGAAACCCCGGGCUCCCAUGAAAGGCUGCCCAGCACCGCAGGAGGAAUAGAGGCUCCAAGUGGCUGCACAAUGCCGGCCGAUGACGCAACUAAUAAUAAUGGCAUGGCUUUGGAGCGCCCCACUCCAGUGACAAACAAUCGGGGUGAAGAAGAAGAAGGUGGGUCUUCCUUGCGGGCAUUGGUUGGAGAGCAGCCAGAUCCUGGGUUCCUUUUGGAAAGGGGGUAG
ensembl:lncRNA